rnacentral:rRNA from 1 species
GAUGAACGCUGGCGGCGUGCCUAAUACAUGCAAGUCGAGCGAACGGACGAGAAGCUUGCUUCUCUGAUGUUAGCGGCGGACGGGUGAGUAACACGUGGAUAACCUACCUAUAAGACUGGGAUCACUUCGGGAAACCGGAGCUAAUACCGGAUAAUAUUCUGAACCGCAUGGUUCAAAAGUGAAAGACGGUCUUGCUGUCACUUAUAGAUGGAUCCGCGCUGCAUUAGCUAGUUGGUAAGGUAACGGCUUACCAAGGCAACGAUGCAUAGCCGACCUGAGAGGGUGAUCGGCCACACUGGAACUGAGACACGGUCCAGACUCCUACGGGAGGCAGCAGUAGGGAAUCUUCCGCAAUGGGCGAAAGCCUGACGGAGCAACGCCGCGUGAGUGAUGAAGGUCUUCGGAUCGUAAAACUCUGUUAUUAGGGAAGAACAUAUGUGUAAGUAACUGUGCACAUCUUGACGGUACCUAAUCAGAAAGCCACGGCUAACUACGUG